rnacentral:tRNA from 1 species
AGCAAUGUGGGUCAAUGGAAAGACCAUUGAAUUUGGAGUCGAAGGACUUAGUUUUGAAUCUUGACACUGCUA